CUUGGAAACUGGCGUAAUGUCAUAGACAAGGAAGUUUUGGUGAAAUAUUGGUGAAGGAUAACUAAAGCAGCAGGAGCUAUAUGUCACUAAAGUUUCUGAUGCAACUGAAAUAUAUUUGACAUGAAGAAGACUACAGAAAUGCUCCAGAAAAGUACUUUGCAUGGUCUUCUGAAGGCUUUACAGAAAAGAGAAAGAACCCGAAGCAGAAGGAAUUUCCUCAAGGUCAUACAACAUAGGAAUGCCUGCUUAUAUGUGCCUGCUCUGGACAAAAGGGAAAUGCACAGCAGACAGCUCCUACUAAUCAUCU
rnacentral:lncRNA from 14 species